UCGAUUCCCUUAGUAGCGGCGAGCGAAACGGGAAGAGCCCAAACCAACAAGCUUGCUUGUUGGGGUUGUAGGACACUCUAUACGGAGUUACAAAGGACGACAUUAGACGAAUCAUCUGGAAAGAUGAAUCAAAGAAGGUAAUAAUCCUGUAGUCGAAAAUGUUGUCUCUCUUGAGUGGAUCCUGAGUACGACGGAGCACGUGAAAUUCCGUCGGAAUCUGGGAGGACCAUCUCCUAAGGCUAAAUACUCUCUAGUGACCGAUAGUGAACCAGUACCGUGAGGGAAAGGUGAAAAGCACCCCGGAAGGGGAGUGAAAUAGAACCUGAAACCGUGUGCUUACAAGUAGUCAGAGCCCGUUAAUGGGUGAUGGCGUGCCUUUUGUAGAAUGAACCGGCGAGUUACGAUUUGAUGCAAGGUUAAGCAGUAAAUGUGGAGCCGUAGCGAAAGCGAGUCUGAAUAGGGCGUUUAGUAUUUGGUCGUAGACCCGAAACCAGGUGAUCUACCCUUGGUCAGGUUGAAGUUCAGGUAACACUGAAUGGAGGACCGAACCGACUUACGUUGAAAAGUGAGCGGAUGAACUGAGGGUAGCGGAGAAAUUCCAAUCGAACCUGGAGAUAGCUGGUUCUCUCCGAAAUAGCUUUAGGGCUAGCCUCAAGUGAUGAUUAUUGGAGGUAGAGCACUGUUUGGACGAGGGGCCCCUCUCGGGUUACCGAAUUCAGACAAACUCCGAAUGCCAAUUAAUUUAACUUGGGAGUCAGAACAUGGGUGAUAAGGUCCGUGUUCGAAAGGGAAACAGCCCAGACCACCAGCUAAGGUCCCAAAAUAUAUGUUAAGUGGAAAAGGAUGUGGCGUUGCCCAGACAACUAGGAUGUUGGCUUAGAAGCAGCCAUCAUUUAAAGAGUGCGUAAUAGCUCACUAGUCGAGUGACACUGCGCCGAAAAUGUACCGGGGCUAAACAUAUUACCGAAGCUGUGGAUUGUCCUUUGGACAAUGGUAGGAGAGCGUUCUAAGGGCG
rnacentral:rRNA from 1 species